rnacentral:rRNA from 1 species
UCCAGGGCGUAAACGCUGCAGGCUUGGUGUUGGGGGUACCACGAGUGCUCCCAGUGCCGGAGAGAAGUUGUUAAGCCUGCCACCUGGGGAGUAUGCUCGCAAGAGUGAAACUUAAAGGAAUUGGCGGGGGAGCACAGCAACGGGUGGAGCGUGCGGUUCAAUUGGAUUCAACGCCGGAAAAC